rnacentral:rRNA from 1 species
GAUGAACGCUGGCGGCGUGCCUAAUACAUGCAAGUCGAGCGAACAGACGAGGAGCUUGCUCCUCUGACGUUAGCGGCGGACGGGUGAGUAACACGUGGAUAACCUACCUAUAAGACUGGGAUAACUUCGGGAAACCGGAGCUAAUACCGGAUAACAUGUUGAACCGCAUGGUUCAACAGUGAAAGACGGUCUUGCUGUCACUUAUAGAUGGAUCCGCGCCGCAUUAGCUAGUUGGUAAGGUAACGGCUUACCAAGGCAACGAUGCGUAGCCGACCUGAGAGGGGGAUAGGCCACACUGGAACUGAGACACGGUCAAGACGCCUACGAGAGGCAGCAGUAGGGAAUCUUCCGCAAUGGGCGAAAGCCUGACGGAGCAACGCCGCGUGAGUGAAGAAGGUCUUCGGAUCGUAAAACUCUGUUAUUAGGGAAGAACAAAUGUGUAAGUAACUAUGCACGUCUUGACGGUACCUAAUCAGAAAGCCACGGCUAACUACGUG